UACGGGGGGGGCAAGCGUUGCUCGGAAUCAUUGGGCGUAAAGGGCGCGUAGGCGGCCUGCUAAGUUGAUUGUGAAAUCCCACGGCUCAACCGUGGAACUGCGACCAAUACUGGCGGGCUUGAGUGUGGGAGAGGAAAGCGGAAUUCCCAGUGUAGCGGUGAAAUGCGUAGAUAUUGGGAGGAACACCAGUGGCGAAGGCGGCUUUCUGGACCACAACUGACGCUGAGGCGCGAAAGCUAGGGGAGCAAACAGG
rnacentral:rRNA from 1 species